CAGCAGCCACGGUAAUACGGAGGGUGCAAGCGUUAAUCGGAAUUACUGGGCGUAAAGCGCACGCAGGCGGUCUGACAAGUCAGAUGUGAAAUCCCCGGGCUUAACCUGGGAACUGCAUUUGAAACUGUCAGGCUGGAGUCUUGUAGAGGGGGGUAGAAUUCCAGGUGUAGCGGUGAAAUGCGUAGAGAUCUGGAGGAAUACCGGUGGCGAAGGCGGCCCCCUGGACAAAGACUGACGCUCAGGUGCGAAAGCGUGGGGAGCAAACAGGAUUAGAUACCCGAGUAGUCCCUGUCUCUAUACA
rnacentral:rRNA from 1 species